UGAUUUUGAGGGGAAACUAUAUGAAGCAAGGGCGUAGCACAACAUUGUGGGCCCUGUAGAAAGGCCUUUUCUAUGGGCCCUUCCCCACAUGCACAGCUAUAAAUCCUAGCAUCUUUUGGGCCCUCCUCA